ensembl:lncRNA
AUUAUUUAUUUGUAACAAGUGUCACCUGGCAGUUUGUUGCUCUCUGCCAGGUGAUUGGCUGAAGAGCUGUGAAAAGGUAGUGGGUGUGUGGGGUGAAGUCAGCGCUCUUCUGUGGAAAAAAACCAGAGGCAAUUAAUUCACUCAGUGUGACCACGAAUUUUAAUAGAAGAAUUGAUCAAGCCCUAGAUCGACUGCGCGCAGGGAAACUGAUCAAUAUUAUCACAGGCCAUACAUAGCACUGAUUCCCAGCUGCGCUGAGACCCGAAUUGUUUGCAGUGUGUGCCACGAUUGCAGUGUCGCUAAGCGGGGUGUGACGGGUUUGCAGUGUUAUUUCGCACAGUUUGUGUGGCAAGUCUCGUGUGCAGCUGGGAUAUCAGCAGGAUGCGUUGUAAGUCCUGUCUGGAAACGACUGGGAAUUUGUACUUUUA